rnacentral:lncRNA from 1 species
GCGUAGGCAGCGGCUCGCAGCCCGGGGGUCUCGGCUGGUCCGCUGCGGCGGGGUCUGGACCGCGGGGCAGUUGGCGGCAGGUGGCACUGGCUGGAGGCCUGAGGGACUGUCAGAGUACACUGUAGCUGUCUUCAGACAUCAGAAGAGGGCAUCGAUCCCAUUACAGAUGGUUGUGAGCCACCAUGUGGUUUCUGGGAUUUGAACUCAGGACCUUGGGAAGAGCAGAGAAUACAUAAGAACAACCCUACAUUUUGGCCACCACAUCCACUGAGCCAGCUGUCGCCUUGCACCUGCUCUGCACCAAGCCUCAAGCUGCUGAGCAGAGCUAUGAGAGCCCAGUCCUGCAACUGGGGCCGGUAGCCCCCACAGGCUUUGGUGUGUGACUCUAUCUGUGCUUUGGCCCUGUGGAGACCAGUGCGACCCAGGCGGCCACCAUGUCACAGCUCCUGGUGGCUAAGGUCCUCUGCAUGGUGGGUGUGUUCUUCUUCAUGCUGCUGGGCUCUCUGCUGCCUGUGAAGGUCAUCGAGGCCGACUUCGAGAAGGCACACCGCUCCAAGAAGGUCCUCUCCCUCUGUAACACCUUUGGGGGUGGCGUCUUCCUGGCUACAUGCUUUAAUGCACUGCUGCCUGCAGUGAGGGACAAGCUGCAGCAGGUACUGAGCCUGGGCCACAUCAGCACUGACUACCCGCUGGCCGAGACCCUCAUGAUGGUGGGGUUCUUCCUCACUGUGUUCGUGGAGCAGCUGGUGCUGACCUUCCGCCGGGAGCGGCCUCCCUUUAUAGACCUGGAGACCUUCAAUGCUGGCUCAGACGCCGGCAGCGACUCGGAGUACGAGAGCCCAUUUGUGGGUGUGGGCGGCCGUAACCACGGCCUGUACCCCGAGCCCACUGCACACAGCCAUGGCACAGGGCUGCGGCUGCGGGAGCUGGGCCGCCCUGGGCCGCUGCGGCUGCUCAGCCUGGUCUUCGCGCUGUCUGCACACUCGGUGUUUGAGGGCCUGGCGCUGGGGCUGCAGGAGGAGGGUGAGCGUGUGGUCAGCCUGUUCGUUGGUGUGGCGGUCCAUGAGACGCUGGUGGCUGUGGCCCUGGGCAUCAGCAUGGCCCGAAGUGCAGUACCCCUGAGGGACGCGGCCAAGUUGGCGGUGACCGUGAGCGCCAUGAUCCCGGUGGGCAUUGGGCUGGGCCUGGGCAUCGAGAGUGCCCGCAGCGUGGCCAGCAGCGUGGCAUCGGCGCUGCUGCAGGGCUUGGCUGGAGGCACCUUCCUGUUCGUCACCUUCCUGGAGAUCCUGGCCAAGGAACUGGAGGAGAGGAGCGAGCAGCUGCUGAAGGUGCUGUUCCUGGUGCUGGGCUACGCAGUUCUGGCCGGCAUGGUCUUUCUCAAGUGGUGAGCCCUGAAUCCCCAAAGGACACAGAGCGCGUCCCUCACCAGCCAUGCUCAAGGGCGGCGGUUCACACACAGGGGCCUCCUGGGCUGUCACCGUCCUCCAGAACCUGGCUCUACAGACAUUGCUUUUAAAAACGUCUUAAAGUUCUUUACC